rnacentral:miRNA from 1 species
UGUCAGUCUCGUCGGUCACAGG